AGCGCUCUGCAAAGGAAGGGCAAUGGUGUGAAACCACAUCGAGUACCAAGAUGGACUGCUGAGGUUCAAGAAGAAGCAGAAAUGGGGAGCCCUUGUUGUGUUUCUUGGGGUUGAACAACCUACAUAUUCAUGGAGGAUAUGUUCCUUGUGGAAGCAGGGAACUGUGGGUAAUAGCGAACCUUACUGAGCAAUCUGGGAACCCGAAGGUGCCAAAAAAUGAAAAACACCAGGAACACAAAAACCGGCACACAGAUCAAAACAAAAACGGAGAGACGAUGCCAACACAAAACAUCUCGUUGAGUGAAAAACGUUCUCAGAAGAUGUUUUCAUCCAUCAAAGAUGCUGUGACUCUUGGACGUGCAUUAAAACCCGCAAAUACGUAUUA